AUGGUAAUGUCAUUGUAUUUUUGGAGUUUUACAGAUGCGGUCACUACUGUCCUUGUAUGGAAAAGAACUGAACAAAGUCUUUUUGUGAUCUAUGGAAGAAAGCAGCAAGUCAUGCGGGUUUGGAGCAAGAUGGCGAAAGUCAUCCAGAAGGCUGGCCACACACUGACAUGUACUGUGUGGUAUGAAGUCCAUACCCGAGUCAUUUCCACCCAUCGGUUUCAAUCCGUCAAAGACCACCGGACAGUCCCACCCGACCCAGACCAGAGACAGAAGAGCAGCAGCCGCAGCGCUUUACACUCAAGCCAAGUUCUGUUCUCGCUUCAAGUGUUCAGAUAUAAACACAGCAUGUUUUUAUGGGCUGAGAGAGUCAAGGAGAUGCCAGACAGACUGGUAUUCUUCCGACAACUGAUUCAUUUGAACAUAAAAUAACAGAAAAUGUUUUUGUUUUGUUUUUGCACAUGCUAUUCUUAAGAAUAAAUGUUGUGCUUUAUCUUAAUUGCACAGUCUUGUUAUCUCUCACAGAUCAAACUUUCUUGAAUUAGAAAAAAUAAAAAUAAAAAUCGUGUGAACACAAGAAAAUUGGAACCACUUUACAAUCCAUUUAUAGUCAUUAGCUAACAACAUUAGUUACCAUUAACUAAGAUGAAUGAAUGCUGUAGAAGUGUUGUUCAUUGCUAGUUUAAGAUGAUUUUUAAUGUUUACUAAUACAUUUUUAAAACCAAAUUGUAUCUGUUAACAUCAGUUAAUGCAUUGUUAAGUAAUAUAAAUAAACAACUAAUAUUGACUAAGAUGAAUAAAUACUAGAAUUAUACUGCUCGUUAGAUUAAUGCAAAAAAUAUUAAAUUUAGAUAUGCAUAUAAAUUCUAUACAGUUAUUCAUUCAGUGCUGGGUAGGUUACUUACAAAUCCUUACUGAUUCCAAAUUAUAUUAGAAAAAUUAUAGUUAGUAAAGUUAUUAUGUUACACAUUUUAGAUAAUAUAUGUUUUUAUCAAUUCUAGAUUACUUGUGACCUAACUCUUUAUCACAUUGAUUUAGAUAGGAUACCAUAUUGAUAGAAAAAUUACAAAGACAAAGAAAAUACAUUCUAUUCAUUGUUUUUAACAACAUUGACUGCACUAAUCAUUACAUUGUGUCAAGGUUUCCCACACUGUGAAAUUUAAAUAAAAUCAUUUUAAAAUAACUCAAAUCUAAAUCAAACACUUACUAAAAAAGAUUUUUAAAAAAAUGCAUUUGUUUGCCUGCAUGUAAUGUGAAAAUUAACCAAGAUCAGAGAACCACGAACAUGCAAAUAUAGGGUGAAAGAGGUUGUAAAGAAAUAGGAAUUAAUGAUAUUGCAAUUAAUAUCGCAUUUUAAAGAUAUUGCAAACUUAUGUUAACAAAUGAGACCUAAGUGUAGCUAUAAAUGUUUUCAUAAAUGUCAGGUUUGGACAAGGUUAUAAUGUGUUGUAUUUAUAUACAACAUAAUAUUUCAGAAUACUGUAGACCUAAUAUAUUUUAUAGCUAAAUAGGCCUAAUAUUAAAUAGAUAUUUUUCAGAAUAUAGGCAUAUAAAUUUUUAUCAAUGUUUUAAAAUAUUACAGAAUUCACAAAUAUGGCCUACUGUUUGCCAAAACAUGAUUUGAGGUUUUCGUGUUUGCUUAGCAUAUCUGCUUUAAUUUGUCCAUUGUUUUAAAUAUUACAGAAUCACAAAUAUGGCCUACUGUUUGCCAAAACAAUGAUUUGAGGUUUUCGUGUUUGCUUAGCAUAUCUGCUUUAAUUUUGUUCCAUAAUCGUUUUAUGAUUUAAUUGCUGAAAAUACUUCUUGUUAUUGACUUUGGCAUUUUAUAGCUACUUUAAAAUAGGCCUAGUCAGUGUAGUAGCUUAAAACGUGUGACAACUAGCCCCGGUCUCCACUGUAAUGGAAACUAAUUUCAGAUCCUUCUUUGUUUUGAUGUCAAAUGAUGUAAUGAAAUAAUUUCACUAGUGCACCACUAAUGAGUGUAAGUUGAUUUCGUAAAAUGGGGCGACAUCAUGUUAUUAUUUUUUGAGUUCUUUGAGUCAUGUUAUUACUUUUGUAGUAACAUGGCAACCAAGUGUGAUUCUCCACCCAAACACAGCAUUGCAAACUCUGACGCUCUCGGAUGUUAGUCGCUGCUGUCGUUAUUGUGUCUUUAAGCAUGUCAUGGCGAUAUGUAAUCGGCCUGUUACGUAAUCAAACGGACAGUGGUCAUCCACUGUCACUCGUGCUUCAUCACGUUAUGUCCCAACCCUGGGGAACACACGCUGAUUUAACCGUGUUUCCUUUUGUUUUCACAUCCCACAGUUCUCCUCGCUGAUGCAUACCGAUGUUUCUGAGCUGUGAUUGAGAACAGAUGUUUCUCGUGGCAAAACACAGAUUAAUGUGCUCCAAGACAACCCCCACUGCUAUUGCAAAACCUGAAUAUGCUUAAACAUUAAUAAAUGCACACGUCCAGUCACACACUGCAUGAGCCGAAUAUCUAAUUUUAUGUCCUCAAAGCAUGCAUCAAAGGUUGCAUUAAUUUUCUUUCCAUUAUUGCUUCUGUUUUUGUUGAUUAGUAACAAUAAACUCUGAGCACAUCACUCUGAAACCAUGAGAUAAAUGCCAGUGUUGUCUAUAAAUGCUCUUGGCAUCUCAAAACAGGACUCAAUUGCAAUAAAUUAUUUGAAUGACUAAUAUCUGGCACUUUUUGGUGCUGGCGUCUCUUAUACUUUUCCCUUAUUUUUUGUGCAUUUAAAUGAGAACCUGGAAAAAGUUAGUAGAGUAUGUUCAAAAACGCUGGCCGUAAAACAUUUAAAAGCUCUAAACGAGCAAUAUUGGAUGUCAAAACUAAAGAAAAAUGUAAUUGCAAUAAGGAAAGUUAAUUCUUUAUAGUAUACUGUGUAGUGAUGUUUUUAAUCAAGUCCACCCACAGAACUGUGAACAAUACUCUCCUGUCUGACAUGCUGUGAAAAUGUCCGGCCAAAAGUUUGUUUGCAUGAAUUUUUAGAGGUGCUUCUUAUAUAAUCUUGCAUGCUUUCAUAAAAUGCUGACAGCGGCAAUGUGAUGAAAUGUUAAAGGAAUUGUUCACUUUAAAAAUUUACUU
rnacentral:lncRNA from 1 species